CACAACAACACUUGAGGCCAACUAAACACACAACCUUCUCAUUUCUUGUCUCUUCUUUGUAGAAGACUAGAGGAGGAGUAGUGAGAAAAUGGCAUCAAUGAAGUCUGAGAAACCUGUAGCUGCUAAACUUCUUGGGCAGGCCACGAAAGAGCCUGCCAAAGCUGGUGAGCAUAGUGCUGAACCCAAACCUUCCGGCACCAAUCAGGCCCCCAAGAAGGCUGAGCAGAAGCCCCGGGAGCCAAAGAAGAAGGCCGCCAAAGGUGGCAAACCAGGAGCAAAGAACUAAAGAGGAACGAUACCAGAUCAUGCCACCAUAGAGGAUUCUACGAAGCCGUUGAUUGAAGGCCAUCCGUCCAUUUUACUUCUAUUGCUGAUAUAGUGUGGCUGUUUAAUCCUCAUGGUUUAAUAUAUAGAUCUUGUGUGUUUUUCUUUUCUUUAGACUUCCCCUAGCAUGUAUGAGUCAUAUUAAGCUUUUAAUGAAAUAAAAUAUUAUAUUUAUGAAAAA